UACAUGGGGUGCAAACGUUGCUCGGAAUUAUUGGGCGUAAAGCGCGCGUAGGCGGUUACUCAAGUCGGAUGUGAAAGCCCUCGGCUUAACUGAGGAAGUGCACCCGAAACUGAGUAGCUAGAGUACUAAAGAGGGUCGCGGAAUUCCCGGUGUAGAGGUGAAAUUCGUAGAUAUCGGGAGGAACACCGGUGGCGAAGGCGGCGACCUGGGUAGAUACUGACGCUGAGGCGCGAAAGCGUGGGGAGUAAACAGG
rnacentral:rRNA from 1 species